AUUGGAUUAUGCUAAUAUGCUAAAAACUUCAAACGAUACAGAGAAGAUUAGCAUGGCCACUGUGCAAGGAUGACACACACACACACACACACACACACACACACA
ensembl:snRNA U6 U6 spliceosomal RNA